rnacentral:rRNA from 1 species
GACAGAGGUCCCGAGCGUUAGGCGGAAUCACUGGGCUUAAAGCGUGUGUAGGCGGAUUUGUAAGUACCUUGUGAAAUCCCACGGCUUAACCGUGGAACUGCUUGGUAUACUGCUUAUCUUGGGCCAUCUAGUGGCUACUGGAACAAACGGUGGAGCGGUGAAAUGCGUAGAUAUCGUUUGGAACGCCAAUGGUGAAAACAGGUAGCUGGGGAUGUGCCGACGCUGAGACACGAAAGCCCGGGGAGCGAACGGG